rnacentral:lncRNA from 1 species
AUGCUUUCUGAAAAGAUGAAAGAAGGGAUAAGGAAGAGAAAUAAUUUUGUUGUGUAUUUAUAUUAAUAAACAUAUUUGUGUUUUUGCAUUUUGAUGCAGUUGUGGCUUUGAUGGCCAUAAAAAAGAUCUAAUUGACCCAUACAAUGUUCUGAAAAAUUGGGAUUAAGUAAAUGUGAUUUUUCUUCUUCUCCAAGUUAUGAUGGUUUGAUUUACUGGAGUUGUUGGGUAAAUGAAAAUUGAUCUUAUUUGCAUUCUGAAGUUGGGUGCACACUUCUUAUUAUGUGUUGAACCGUAUAAAGUAAAUGGAUUAGUUUUCUCUAAUAUCUAUGAAUUGGGUAAUUGUAUUGUUUGUUUGUAGUUGGUACCUUUUUUGUUGCCAUAUCUUUGUGUAAAUAAAUUCCUAUCGUUUGUUGACCCCAAUUAUAAUAACAGGGGAUUAUUACUAUCAUUUUUUUUGGCAGUUUUGAUAAAUAG